CUUCUAGGACGACCUAGAAGGACAACGCCUAGAGGACGACCUC
rnacentral:ncRNA from 1 species